rnacentral:tRNA from 1 species
UCCCUUGUGGCUCAGAUGGUAGAGAAUCUGCCUGCAAUGCGGGAGACCUGGGUUUGAUCCCAGGUUGGGAA